rnacentral:misc_RNA from 1 species
UAUAUUCAUUGUGAGGCUAACCUACAUUAAAUGAAAGGCAAUUUAAUUAUCAUCAUAUCAAUAACUAGCAUGUGAAGUAGUCUUGUAGAAGUUGUCCAAUUAUAGAGUUACUAAAUAAACUAUCUGAACGUAGAAAGUAAGGUGGUUGACACCACAACAGUAUCUUGUAAACUCAACUACAAGAAACAAUUAUGAGGGGUCCUUUUGGAAGAAGAAAAUUUGAUUGUAUACAUUCAAAUUGCAUUUAAACUACUGCAAGUGAGAAAUUUUGCACACUCAACAUUCUUUCCCAAAUUCUUGUCUUCUUAGCUUCUGUCAGUUGAAAAGGAAAAUUUAUCCAAAAAUCAUUGCAAUAGGUGCAAGGUUUUUGACAUUUUAUAAAUAGAUAAGUAUCAACAAAGACAAGUAACAAAAUGAAAGAUGUAAUUGACUUUUGGUUCAAUAUUAUGGAAACAGAAGAAGAUUCAAACUUUAAUGAGCCAAAUUAUAUAUUGAAUAUUAUUGAUGCAGAUUUAGUUCUGUAUGUUCUUUUCUCAAGACAUCCAUGCAUCAACUUGUGUAACUAUUCAAAAUUUGUUUUACCAGGAUUCACUAGCUAUCGUGAGCAUUCUAAUUUAGGUUUUCAGAGAGUUAAACCAAGAAAAUAUAGCUCUGAGCAUCAACAAAAAUAUCAUAGCAAUCAAGCACAUCAAAGAAAUGAAUAGAGGGCCAACCCAUUUGAUACCUAAAGAAAAUCAUAAGUAACAAUAGAUACAUAAAAAUCCAUUUUAAUCAAGAGAGUGAUUCACUAAACAAGCAUAACAUGUGGUGAGAAACUUCCAAUAUCUCAACAGCAAUAUGAAUGUUGCAUGGCAAAAGACACCAGGGUGGGGGGAUUGACUUUCAUUAACAUUAAAUGACACGCAAUAGUAUGAAAUCUUAAGCAAAGUUAGCAAACAAAUCUCUGAGAUGCAAAUGGAUCACAUACUAUAAAUACAUCCAAAGAAUUUUUGGAUUUCAACACAAUAAGCAAAUAAAGGCGGACAAUUGGACACCGGAAGAUGAUGGUAUGUCUAUAUUCUACGAUCAAAUGUUACAUUGUGUUAUUUCGAUAAGAUACAGCUACAUUUUAACACAAAUACUGGAAAUUCAAUUCAUAACAUCACAACAGUUGACCCAGAAUUUGGAAACUGAUCUAUAUACAUAGACAUUUAGAAUGCUACAACUUACAAUUAGCUAAAACUUAACCCUAAAAAAAUUUAUCUUAGAAGAAAGAAAAUCCCGUCAAUCUACUAAAAAAUACAGCCCCUCUUAGACAAACCAAGAGUCUAAACUU